rnacentral:snRNA from 1 species
GUGCUCGCUUUGGCAGCACAUAUACUGAAAUUGGAAUGAUACAGAGAAGAUUAGCAUGGCCCCUGCUCAAGGAUGACAUGCAAGUUUGUGAAGCUUUCCAUAUUUUU